rnacentral:lncRNA from 1 species
CCCAACGGUAUCCUGUUUGCACCGGGGCGACGCCCGACUACGGCCGGUCGGACCCCGGGGCGCGGCAGUGCACGCCUCUCCGGAGAGGACAGCCACCCGCGCGCCGGCCCAGAGAGCGCCGUGACGCCACCUGUCGCGCCGACACCAGCCGCUGGCCCCGCGUCGUCUGCGGAGGCCUGAGAAGAGACGGGGGUGCAGUGCUCCGGUCAGCGCCAGCGCCAGCAGCGGCAGCGGUCUGACGUCAUGGCCGUCCCAGCAGCGCUCGUCCUGGCGCUGCUCUUGUCACUGACGACGUGUGGCGAUGCCAGCCGGGCCCAGUUCCGCCUGACGCUGGCCCCGCCGCUGUGCCCCUGCGCAAGCAUCCAGUUCUGCUUGGGUGGCGCGUGUCUGCCGCGCAUUCCAAACUGGUUCGGCUGUUUGGCGGACCGGAUGUGUCUGUCGGGCCGGUGCCGGGGCGGUGUGUGCUGGACAGCGCCAACCACCACUACUACCACUACCACUACCACCACCACGCAGCGGCCAGACACCAGCGGAGGUGUGGGUUGUCCCACUCCGUCGUGUGGUGGACGUGGCAGUAUCUGCAUGAUACUUCCGAACGGAUGCAGUGUGCCUGGGUACCCUGGCAUAUAAUAAAGUUUGAAAAACGAGAUACACAGAAA